GAUGAACGCUGGCGGCGUGCCUAAUACAUGCAAGUCGAGCGAACGGACGAGAAGCUUGCUUCUCUGAUGUUAGCGGCGGACGGGUGAGUAACACGUGGAUAACCUACCUAUAAGACUGGGAUAACUUCGGGAAACCGGAGCUAAUACCGGAUGAUAUUUUGAACCGCAUGGUUCAAAAGUGAAAGACGGUCUUGCUGUCACUUAUAGAUGGAUCCGCGCUGCAUUAGCUAGUUGGUAAGGUAACGGCUUACCAAGGCAACGAUGCAUAGCCGACCUGAGAGGGGGACAGCCACAACGGAACAGAGGCCCGGGUCAGACCCCCACGGGGGGGAAGAAGGAGGGAUUCUCCAGAAAGGGCCGAAGGCUGAACGAAGAAAGGCGGGGGGAGGAAGAAAGGUCUGCGGAUAGAAAACCUUUUUUAUAGGGGAAAAAAAUAUGUGAAAGAAACUGGGCAAAUCUGAAGGGAACCAAACAAAAAAGCACCGGAAAACUACGGC
rnacentral:rRNA from 1 species